rnacentral:tRNA from 1 species
AGUUAGCUAGCUCAGUUGGUAGAGCGUGAGACUCUUAAUCUCAGGGUUGUGUGUUCGAGCCCCACACUG